AUACGGAGGAUCCGAGCGUUAUCCGGAUUUAUUGGGUUUAAAGGGAGCGUAGGUGGACAGUUAAGUCAGUUGUGAAAGUUUGCGGCUCAACCGUAAAAUUGCAGUUGAUACUGGUUGUCUUGAGUACAGUAGAGGUGGGCGGAAUUCGUGGUGUAGCGGUGAAAUGCUUAGAUAUCACGAAGAACUCCGAUUGCGAAGGCAGCUCACUGGACUGCAACUGACACUGAUGCUCGAAAGUGUGGGUAUCAAACAGGAUUAGAUACCCUGGUAGUCCACACAGUAAACGAUGAAUACUCGCUGUUUGCGAUAUACAGUAAGCGGCCAAGCGAAAGCAUUAAGUAUUCCACCUGGGGAGUACGCCGGCAACGGUGAAACUCAAAUGAAUUGACGUGG
rnacentral:rRNA from 1 species